CACGCUUCCUCUAGCACAACCACAGCUAUGCACCAAUCCUCCUGGGUUCAGAGAUGGAACUUGGGUUAAAUGCAUGGAAUUUAUUCUUAGUCCUUUUCUUAAUUACGACUUUUUAUUUCUCUGGUGUUCUCUAGGGGAGGGGUUAGAGAAGAGAGGAAAAGGAAGAAAGAAAGGGGGCAGGGAAAUAUAGAUUCAAUGCUUUUGUUUUGUUUCUGGGCUGCUUGCUAUCAGCAAAGUAGAGAGAUUUAACGGAUCUUGCCGAGAAUGCAAGCCUCAUUCCAAGGAAGCCAGAGCUCAGAAGACAUGGAACAAAUACAAUGAAAACAUAACUUGAGGUCGGAAAAUGUCCCCUGAAUAUUUAUGUCAAUGUCCUACCUUAGUGAAUAUUACUUAAUACUGUGGCUCCUUUAAAGCAUGUAAGUAGCUUGCAUUGUGAUUUCAUUAUGAAGUCAGAUGGAAUGAGGAGUGUGUAAAUCCAGAAUCAGAAUCCCAGCGACGAAGCUUUUCUUGCUCUGUUACCUUGGAAAAUGCUUUGAACCAGACCAGAUAAGAAAAGUAAAAGUCUGGAGUGUAAUCCUUCCAAUUGUCUUUUGGCUUCUCUUCUACUUCUACAAAAAGUUCAACAAGUCGGUGGGCAGAAGUCUAAAAUCAAGGUGUCAGCAGUGUGGAAUCCUUCUGGAGGCUUUGAGAAGAGGACACUGAAGCCAAAGGAGAAAAUUAACUAGCUCAGUCUUGCAUGACCCCUGUGAAUGGACUGAUCUUGAAACCCAG
rnacentral:lncRNA from 1 species